rnacentral:rRNA from 1 species
UGGGGAAUCUUGCACAAUGGGGGCAACCCUGAUGCAGCGACGCCGCGUGAGCGAUGAAGCCCUUCGGGGCGUAAAGCUCUUUCGACCGGAACGAUAAUGACGGUACCGGGAGAAGAAGCUGCGGCUAACUACGUGCCAGCAGCCGCGGUAAUACGUAGGCAGCAAGCGUUGUUCGGAGUUAAUGGGCGUAAAGAGUGCGUAGGCGGUUUUCUAAGUUCGGUGUGAAAUCUCCCGGCUUAACUGGGAGGGUGCGCCGAAGACUGGGAAGCUGGAGUGUGGGAAAGNCGGGCGGAAUUCCUGGUGUAGCGGUGAAAUGCGUAGAUAUCAGGAGGAACACCGGCGGUGUAGACGGCUGGCUAGACCAUAACGGACGCUGAGGCACGAAAGCGUGGGUAGCAAACA